rnacentral:rRNA from 1 species
AUUGAACGCCGGCGGCAUGCCUUACACAUGCAAGUCGAACGGUAACAGGUCCUCGGAUGCUGACGAGUGGCGAACGGGUGAGUAAUACAUCGGAACGUGCCUAGUAGUGGGGGAUAACUACUCGAAAGAGUGGCUAAUACCGCAUGAGAUCUACGGAUGAAAGCAGGGGAUCGCAAGACCUUGUGCUACUAGAGCGGCCGGUGGCAGAUUAGGUAGUUGGUGGGAUAAAAGCUUACCAAGCCGACGAUCUGUAGCUGGUCUGAGAGGACGAUCAGCCACACUGGGACUGAGACACGGCCCAGACUCCUACGGGAGGCAGCAGUGGGGAAUUUUGGACAAUGGGCGAAAGCCUGAUCCAGCAAUGCCGCGUGCAGGAUGAAGGCCUUCGGGUUGUAAACUGCUUUUGUACGGAACGAAAAGCCCCGGGUUAAUACCCUGGGGUCAUGACGGUACCGUAAGAAUAAGCACCGGCUAACUACGUGCCAGCAGCCGCCGCCG